rnacentral:rRNA from 1 species
GACGAACGCUGGCGGCGUGCCUAAUACAUGCAAGUUGAGCGCUGAAGGUUGGUACUUGUACCGACUGGAUGAGCAGCGAACGGGUGAGUAACGCGUGGGGAAUCUGCCUUUGAGCGGGGGACAACAUUUGGAAACGAAUGCUAAUACCGCGUAAAAACUUUAAACACAAGUUUUAAGUUUGAAAGAUGCAAUUGCAUCACUCAAAGAUGAUCCCGCGUUGUAUUAGCUAGUUGGUGAGGUAAAGGCUCACCAAGGCGAUGAUACAUAGCCGACCUGAGAGGGUGAUCGGCCACAUUGGGACUGAGACACGGCCCAGACUCCUACGGGAGGCAGCAGUAGGGAAUCUUCGGCAAUGGGGGCAACCCUGACCGAGCAACGCCGCGUGAGUGAAGAAGGUUUUCGGAUCGUAAAACUCUGUUGGUAGAGAAGAACGUUGGUGAGAGUGGAAAGCUCAUCAAGAGACGGUAACUACCCAGAAAGGGACGGCUAACUACGUGCCAGCAGCCGCGGUAAUACGUAGGUCCCGAGCGUUGUCCGGAUUUAUUGGGCGUAAAGCGAGCGCAGGUGGUUUAUUAAGUCUGGUGUAAAAGGCAGUGGCUCAACCAUUGUAUGCAUCGGAAACUGGGAGACUAGAGUGCAGGAGAGGAGAGUGGAAUUC